AUUGAACGCUGGCGGCAGGCCUAACACAUGCAAGUCGAACGGUAACAGGAAGAAGCUUGCUUCUUUGCUGACGAGUGGCGGACGGGUGAGUAAUGUCUGGGAAACUGCCUGAUGGAGGGGGAUAACUACUGGAAACGGUAGCUAAUACCGCAUAACGUCGCAAGACCAAAGAGGGGGACCUUCGGGCCUCUUGCCAUCGGGUGUGCCCAGAUGGGAUUAGCUAGUAGGUGGGGUAACGGCUCACCUAGGCGAAGAUCCCUAGCUGGUCUGAGAGGAUGACCAGCCACAUUGGAACUGGGACACGGUCCAGACUCCUACGGGAGGCAGCAGUGGGGAAUAUUGCACAAUGGGCGCAAGCAUGAUGCAGCCAUGCCGCGUGUAUGAAGAAGGCCUUCGGGUUGUAAAGUACUUUCAGCGGUGAGGAAGGGAGUAAAGUUAAUACCUUUGCUCAUUGACGUUAACCGCAGAAGAAGCACCGGCUAACUCCGUG
rnacentral:rRNA from 1 species